rnacentral:lncRNA from 1 species
UCCGCUCCAUGAAGACGCUCAUUCUGUUUUAUAGAAGUUAGGAUGGAUGGCUGCUUGCCAGGGGAUCCAACCGUCUGCUCAGAGCCCCACCCUCCACAUUCGGGGAGGAGAGAGGAACCGAAGGUUGAUCACCAAUGGCCAGUGAUGUAAUUGAUCAUGCCUACAUAAUGAAAUCGCCAUAAAAACCCGUAACGACUGAGUUCAGGGGUUUCCCAGGAAGGUGGUCUUGUAUGGAAGAUUUUGUAUUCGGGGAUGGAAGCUUUUGUAUUUGAGGCCCUUCCAGAGUGUGCCCCGUUUAUGUCUUCAUCUGGCUUUUCAUUUGUAUCCUUUAAAAUAUGCUUUAUGAUAAACUGCUAAACGUAAGCAAAUGCUUCCCUGCAUUCUGUGAGGUGCUCUAGCAAAU